AGCGAACGCUGGCGGCAGGCUUAACACAUGCAAGUCGAGCGGGCGUAGCAAUACGUCAGCGGCAGACGGGUGAGUAACGCGUGGGAACGUACCUUUUGGUUCGGAACAACACAGGGAAACUUGUGCUAAUACCGGAUAAGCCCUUACGGGGAAAGAUUUAUCGCCGAAAGAUCGGCCCGCGUCUGAUUAGCUAGUUGGUGUGGUAACGGCGCACCAAGGCGACGAUCAGUAGCUGGCUGAGAGGAUGAUCAGCCACAUUGGGACUGAGACACGGCCCAAACUCCUACGGGAGGCAGCAGUGGGGAAUAUUGGACAAUGGGCGCAAGCCUGAUCCAGCCAUGCCGCGUGAGUGAUGAAGGCCCGUAGGGUUGUAAAGCUCUUUUGUGCGGGAAGAUAAUGACGGUACCGCAAGAAUAAGCCCCGGCUAACUUCGUGCCA
rnacentral:rRNA from 1 species